rnacentral:lncRNA from 1 species
AGAUCCUGACACAGCCCUAGAGCUUCCUGCUCGGCCCUGGGCUGGACAUGUGCUGUGCCAUGCUGUCCAGAGUACUUGGUUUGCUGAAAAUGCCCACACGCACGUGCCCAGAAUGGUGCAUUUUCUGAGUCGCUAAUACCUGUGUUACAGAUCCUGAAGGCACUGUCACCUACAGAAGUUGGGGGGACUUCGACCACAUCCUCAGUUCCUGCUCUUUUCUGUGCAGAAAUGGAAGUGGAACCAGCCAGCAAAGGAGAAGAGGGCCAAGAGGAAGAGGGCCCAGGGCCUGCCACGGUCAAGGAAGAGGGCGUUCACCUGGAGAACGGGGAGCCUCCUGAGGAGAAUGAAGAGUCUGCGGGCACAGACUCUGGGCACGAGCUUGGCAUGGAGGGCCAGAACCUGCGCUCGGGCACCUACGGGGACCGCACUGAGUCCAAGGCUUAUGGCUCCAUCAUCCACAAGUGCGAGGACUGCGGGAAGGAGUUCACGCACACAGGGAACUUCAAACGGCACAUCCGCAUCCACACGGGUGAGAAGCCAUUCUCCUGUCGGGAGUGCAGCAAGGCUUUCUCGGACCCCGCAGCCUGCAAGGCUCACGAGAAGACACACAGCCCGUUGAAACCCUAUGGGUGCGAGGAGUGCGGCAAGAGCUACAGGCUCAUCAGCCUGCUGAACCUGCACAAGAAGAGGCACUCGGGGGAGGCGCGCUACCGCUGCGGGGACUGCGGCAAGCUCUUCACCACUUCCGGCAACCUCAAGCGCCACCAGCUGGUACACAGUGGCCAGAAACCCUACCAGUGCGACUACUGUGGCCGUUCAUUCUCCGACCCCACGUCCAAGAUGCGCCACCU